rnacentral:rRNA from 1 species
CAACUCCAUGUGGUGGAUCACUCGGCUCACGUAACGAUGAAGAGUGCAGCAAACUGUGUUACCAAUGUGAAACGCAAACUGCUCCGAUCAUCGGUCUCUCGAACGCAAAUGGCGGCUAAGGGCUUGCUCUUAGCCACGUUCGAUCGAGUGUCGGCUUUUACC